GACAGUAGCAGCUGCCAGCCAGAAUAGCAAAUCCGUGCGACUUGGCACCACUCCAGCUUCCUUGAGGGUUGCAGAGGGAUGGUAUGUUGGAGGGACAUGGAAGAAUCUGCCUGUGAAUUUAAUACCAAAGACAAUCAAGAUCUUGGUGACAGACAGAAGCCAAGGACAAACCAUCAGAUAAACCCUUACCAGAAAACAGUCUUCGAAGGAGGCAAGAGCAGGUAG